rnacentral:rRNA from 1 species
AGAGUUUGGAUCCUGGCUCAGGAUGAACGCUGGCGGUAUGCUUAACACAUGCAAGUCGAACGGGAUCUCAGAAAUGGGGUUCAGUGGCGGACGGGUGAGUAACGCGUGAGAAUCUGGCUUCAGGUUCGGGACAACCACUGGAAACGGUGGCUAAUACCGGAUAUGCCGAGAGGUGAAAGAUAUAUUGCCUGAAGAUGAGCUCGCGUCUGAUUAGCUAGUUGGUAGGGUAAUGGCCUACCAAGGCGGCGAUCGGUAACUGGUCUGAGAGGAUGACCAGUCACACUGGGACUGAGACACGGCCCAGACUCCUACGGGAGGCAGCAGUGGGGAAUUUUCCGCAAUGGGCGAAAGCCUGACGGAGCAAUACCGCGUGGGGGAUGAAGGCUCUUGGGUUGUAAACCCCUUUUCUCAGGGAAGAAAAAAAUGACGGUACCUGAGGAAUAAGCAUCGGCUAACUCCGUGCCAGCAGCCGCGGUAAUACGGAGGAUGCAAGCGUUAUCCGGAAUGAUUGGGCGUAAAGCGUCUGUAGGUGGUUUAGCAAGUCUGCCGUUAAAGGUCGGGGCUCAACUCCGAAAAGGCGGGGAAA